UGGGGAAUAUUGCACAAUGGGCGAAAGCCUGAUGCAGCAACGCCGCGUGAGUGAUGAAGGUCUUCGGAUUGUAAAGCUCUGUCUUUUGGGACGAUAAUGACGGUACCAAAGGAGGAAGCCACGGCUAACUACGUGCCAGCAGCCGCGGUAAUACGUAGGUGGCGAGCGUUGUCCGGAUUUACUGGGCGUAAAGGGUGCGUAGGCGGAUGUUUAAGUGAGAUGUGAAAUACCCGGGCUUAACUUGGGUGCUGCAUUUCAAACUGGAUAUCUAGAGUGCAGGAGAGGAGAAUGGAAUUCCUAGUGUAGCGGUGAAAUGCGUAGAGAUUAGGAAGAACACCAGUGGCGAAGGCGAUUCUCUGGACUGUAACUGACGCUGAGGCACGAAAGCGUGGGUAGCAAACAGGAUUAGAUACCCUGGUAGUCCACGCCGUAAACGAUGAGUACUGGGUGUAGGAGGUAUCGACCCCUUCUGUGCCGCAGUAAACGCAUUAAGUACUCCGCCUGGGAAGUACGAUCGCAAGAUUAAAAC
rnacentral:rRNA from 1 species